rfam:Eutrema salsugineum unplaced genomic scaffold scaffold_11, whole genome shotgun sequence.
AGAUCUGUAAGCUCAAAUUGGUAGAGCGCUCUUCUUCAUUGGAAGUUGAGAGGUUGGUGGUUCGAAUCCACCCAGAUUUG